CCACCUUCUCGUCUUCCGGAACCGGUGGACGCUCCUCCACUUUUCCCAGAGUGUGAUAUAACUCUGGAGGAGGUAGAGAAAAUUUUAAAUUCCUUCGACACUCGCGAGGUGCCGCUAAUCGAUCCCGAACUAGACGGGGCGUUAUGGUUCGGGGUUAACGAUAAAGAUUUGAGGAAAAAAUUUACAGCAAUAAUAACGUCAAAUUUUCCUCAACUCUACUACUGUUGGACGGUGGUACCGGACAACAUCAAACGUUCUUGGUGGCAUUCGUUCAUCCAAUCUUUUCG